rnacentral:rRNA from 1 species
AGCAGUCGCCGCGGGAAUACAGAGGGUGCAAGCGUUAAUCGGAAUUACUGGGCGUAAAGCGCGCGUAGGUGGUUCGCCAAGUUGGAUGUGAAAUCCCCGGGCUCAACCUGGGAACUGCAUCCAAAACUGGCGAGCUAGAGUAUGGUAGAGGGUGGUGGAAUUUCCUGUGUAGCGGUGAAAUGCGUAGAUAUAGGAAGGAACAUCAGUGGCGAAGGCGACCACCUGGACUGAUACUGACACUGAGGUGCGAAAGCGUGGGGAGCAAACAGGAUUAGAUACCCCCGUAGUCCCUGUCUCUUAUAC